rnacentral:tRNA from 1 species
GGUUGUGGCUCAGUGGUAGAGCACUCGCCUAGCAUGUGCGGGGCACCUGGGUUCAAUCCUCAGCACCA